UUCAAUCCACAGCUGCCUAGCUCCAUUGCUGUUCAGCUGCGGUGAGGCUGGACAUCAGGACUGAAGGGGGGCGGGGAGCUGCAUGCCUCAUGGCUGCCAGGAAGUGGUGGGAGUGGAAGAUACAAGACACACCUCAGAGCCGUGAGCUGGUAAGAUGGCUCAGCACGUACAAGGAGAGAAACUGAUCUGUCAAAGUCAGCUCCAUUUGUCAACUGGACACAACCAGGAAAGGUCCUGAAUUCAAUGUGGCCACCUGAGCCCCACUGGAUAUCUGAGGUGCCAACAGCCCUGCCUCAAGGUUGGACCAGCCCCUGUCCGUCAUCUUCUGCAUUAUCUUUGAAUGGACAGCUGGGAGGCCUGACUCUGCUGUGGAGUUGGGAGUU